AGGGCACCACCAGGAGUGGAGCCUGCGGCUUAAUUUGACUCAACACGGGAAAUCUCACCAGGCCCGGACACCGGAAGGAUUGACAGAUUGAGAGCUCUUUCUUGAUUCGGUGGGUGGUGGUGCAUGGCCGUUCUUAGUUGGUGGAGCGAUUUGUCUGGUUAAUUCCGAUAACGAACGAGACUCUGGCCUACUAAAUAGACGUUAGAUCCCUUUGUGGGUCUAUCGCAGCUUCUUAGAGGGACGGGCGGCGUUCAGCCGCACGAGAUUGAGCAAUAACAGGUCUGUGAUGCCCUUAGAUGUUCUGGGCUGCACGCGCGCUACACUGAAGGAAUCAGCGUGUGUUCCCUGCCCGAAAGGACUGGGAAACCCGUUGAACCUCCUUCGUGAUGGGGAUUGGGGAUUGCAAUUAUUCCCCAUGAACGAGGAAUUCCCAGUAGGCGCGAGUCAUAAGCUUGCGUCGAUUACGUCCCUGCCCUUUUGUACACACCGCCCGUCGCUACUACCGAUCGAGUGAUUUAG
rnacentral:rRNA from 1 species